GAUGAACGCUGGCGGCGUGCCUAAUACAUGCAAGUCGAGCGAACAGACGAGGAGCUUGCUCCUCCGACGUUAGCGGCGGACGGGUGAGUAACACGUAGGUAACCUACCUAUAAGACUGGGAUAACUUCGGGAAACCGGAGCUAAUACCGGAUAAUAUAUCGAACCGCAUGGUUCGAUAGUGAAAGAUGGCUUUGCUAUCACUUAUAGAUGGAUCCGCGCCGCAUUAGCUAGUUGGUAAGGUAACGGCUUACCAAGGCAACGAUGCGUAGCCGACCUGAGAGGGUGAUCGGCCACACUGGAACUGAGACACGGUCCAGACUCCUACGGGAGGCAGCAGUAGGGAAUCUUCCGCAAUGGGCGAAAGCCUGACGGAGCAACGCCGCGUGAGUGAUGAAGGUCUUCGGAUCGUAAAACUCUGUUAUUAGGGAAGAACAAACGUGUAAGUAACUGUGCACGUCUUGACGGUACCUAAUCAGAAAGCCACGGCUAACUACGUG
rnacentral:rRNA from 1 species